rnacentral:rRNA from 1 species
GACGAACGCUGGCGGCGUGCUUAACACAUGCAAGUCGAACGGAAAGGCCCUGCUUUUGUGGGGUGCUCGAGUGGCGAACGGGUGAGUAACACGUGAGUAACCUGCCCUUGACUUUGGGAUAACUUCAGGAAACUGGGGCUAAUACCGGAUAGGAGCUCCUGCUGCUUGGUGGGGGUUGGAAAGUUUCGGCGGUUGGGGAUGGACUCGCGGCUUAUCAGCUUGUUGGUGGGGUAGUGGCUUACCAAGGCUUUGACGGGUAGCCGGCCUGAGAGGGUGACCGGCCACAUUGGGACUGAGAUACGGCCCAGACUCCUACGGGAGGCAGCAGUGGAGAAUAUUGCACAAGGGGCGGAAGCCUGAUGCAGCAACGCCGCGUGCGGGAUGACGGCCUUCGGGUUGUAAACCGCUUUCGCCUGUGACGAAGCGUGAGUGACGGUAAUGGGUAAAGAAGCACCGGCUAACUACGUG